rnacentral:rRNA from 1 species
ACGCUCGACACCUACGUGAGGCAGCAGUGGGGAAUAUUGCACAAUGGGGGAAACCCUGAUGCAGCGACGCCGCGUGGAGGAAGAAGGUCUUCGGAUUGUAAACUCCUGUUGUUGGGGAAAAAGAGGAUGGUACCCAACAAGGAAGUGACGGCUAACUACGUGCCAGCAGCCGCGGUAAUCUGAGGCGGGCUGGACAAGGC